GACGAACGCUGGCGGCGUGCUUAACACAUGCAAGUCGAGCGGUAAGGCCCUUUCGGGGGUACGACGAGCGGCGAACGGGUGAGUAACACGUGGGUGACCUGCCCUUACGCUCUGGGAUAAGCCUGGGAAACUGGGUCGUAAUACCGGAUAUGACUCCAUGACGCAUGUUGUGGGGUGGAAAGCCUUGUGCGGCUAGGGAUGGGCCCGCGGCCUAUCAGCUUGUUGGUGGGGUGAUGGCCUACCAAGGCGACGACGGGUAGCCGGCCUGAGAGGGCGACCGGCCACACUGGGACUGAGACACGGCCCAGACUCCUACGGGAGGCAGCAGUGGGGAAUCUUGCGCAAUGGGCGAAAGCCUGACGCAGCGACGCCGCGUGA
rnacentral:rRNA from 1 species